AGUGAACGCUGGCGGUAUGCCUAACACAUGCAAGUCGAACGUCAGCACAGUAAGCGCUUUCUCGUACGGGUGGCGUGUGUCGCACGUGUGUGGUAUACCUCGGAAUCUACUUUUUCCUGGCGGAUAGCGUAGUGAUACUUACGCUAAUACCGCAUACGACCUACGGGUUUAUGCAGGGAAUCUUCGCACCUUGCGCGUUUUUAUGAGCUGAUGUCGAAUUAGAUAGUUGGCGGGGUAAAGGCCCACCAAGGCGACGAUCCGUAGCUGGUCUGAGAGGAUGAUAAGCCACACUGGAACGGAGAAACGGUCCAGACUCCUAGGGGAGGCAGAAGUGGGGAAUAUUGGAAAAUGGGCGAAAGCCUGAGCAAGCAAGACCGCGUGGGUGAAGAAGGCCUUCGGGUUGUAAAGCCCGUUUGAUGGGAAAGAAAAGCAGAAGGUUAAUACCCAGCAGGUCUGACGGUACCAAAAGAAUAAGCACCGGCUAACUUCGUG
rnacentral:rRNA from 1 species